GAAAUAGUGGGUAAUACCGAAUACGUUCGUUAUCGUGAGGGUAACGAGGAAAGGUGCUACGGCAUCGGCGGUGGAUGAGCUCGCGUCCCAUUAGCUAGUUGGUGAGGUAACGGCCCACCAAGGCGAUGAUGGGUAGCCGGCCUGAGAGGGUGUACGGCCACACUGGGACUGAGAUACGGCCCAGACUCCUACGGGAGGCAGCAGCUAAGAAUAUUCCGCAAUGGACGAAAGUCUGACGGAGCGACGCCGCGUGGAUGAAGAAGGCCGAAAGGUUGUAAAAUCCUUUUGCUGGGGAAGAAUAAGUCUGGGAGGGAAUGCCCGGAUGAUGACAUGAACCGGCGAAUAAGCCCCGGCCAACUACGUGCCAGCAGCCGCGGUAACACGUAGGGGGCGAGCGUUGUUCGGAAUUACUGGGCGUAAAGGGCAUGUAGGCGGUCUUGUAAGCUUGGCGUGAAAGUCCACGGCUCAACCGUGGGAAUGCGUUGAGAACUGCGAGGCUUGAGUUACGGAGAGGGAGCUAGAAUUCCUGGUGUAGGGGUGGAAUCUGUAGAGAUCAGGAAGAAUACCAAUGGCGAAGGCAAGCUCCUGGCCGAUGACUGACGCUGAGGUGCGAAAGUGUGGGGAUCAAACAGGAUUAGAUACCCUGGUAGUCCACGCCGUAAACGAUGUCAACUAGUUGUUGGGUUCCUUGAGGACUUAGUAACGCAGCUAACGC
rnacentral:rRNA from 1 species